rnacentral:rRNA from 1 species
CGGACGGGUGAGUAACGCGUGGGUAACCUGCCUUGUACUGGGGGACAACAGUUAGAAAUGACUGCUAAUACCGCAUAAGCGCACAGUAUCGCAUGAUACAGUGUAGAAAACUCCGGUGGUACAAGAUGGACCCGCGUCUGAUUAGCUAGUUGGUAAGGUAACGGCUUACCAAGGCGACGAUCAGUAGCCGACCUGAGAGGGUGACCGGCCACAUUGGGACUGAGACACGGCCCAA